GUUUCAGGGCGAGGUGAAAUUCCUCACCGGUGGUGAUUGCAAAGCAUAAGUCCACGAGCCGCAAGGCUGAAUUGGUGAAAAUCCAAUACCGACGGUAUAGUCCGGAUGAAAGAAA
rnacentral:ncRNA from 1 species